GUGGGGAAUCUUGCGCAAUGGCCGCAAGGCUGACGCAGCGACGCCGCGUGUGGGAUGACGGCCUUCGGGUUGUAAACCACUGUCGGGAGGAACGAAUACUCGGCUAGUCCGAGGGUGACGGUACCUCCAAAGGAAGCACCGGCUAACUCCGUGCCAGCAGCCGCGGUAAUACGGAGGGUGCGAGCGUUGUCCGGAAUCACUGGGCGUAAAGGGCGCGUAGGUGGCACGUUAAGUGGCUGGUGAAAUCCCGGGGCUCAACUCCGGGGCUGCCGGUCAGACUGGCGAGCUAGAGCACGGUAGGGGCAGAUGGAAUUCCCGGUGUAGCGGUGGAAUGCGUAGAUAUCGGGAAGAAUACCAGUGGCGAAGGCGUUCUGCUGGGCCGUUGCUGACACUGAGGCGCGACAGCGUGGGGAGCAAACAGGAUUAGAAACCCUAGUAGUCC
rnacentral:rRNA from 1 species